UUACAACCAGCCAAAGGGAAUGACAUGAAAGCUGAAGUCCAGGAAGGUCCCAAUGUGAAGUUUCCAGUCGUUCUCUCACCAUGCAGUCCUAGACAGCGUUACUUCCUCCUGGCUACAAUGUGUGAUAAUAGUCAAAGUGGGUCAUCAACCAGGGAGGCUCACCUGAGCCUUUGGCAUCCAGCGUUUUUAUUGGAGCUCAAUCACAUACCGCUUUUGUGUUUACCCUCCUGGAGGCCAGAACUGGGGCUGGUGCUGUUGAUGCUCCACUCAGAUUCCAAGUAUCACUUUGACUGGCUUGUUGAGCACAUUCCCAAACUGCCACCUACAUUGCCGCUGCUGAUUCACACCUAUAACCUUCUUUGGAGAACUUUCCUUGGGCAUUUGUAGCUGCUUUGCUUGCUUUGCGGAUCUGUUCUUGACAUGGAAUUCAAGGUCACUGCCCCUAAAGGCUUGUAUCUUCGAGAGAGAAAGAUACUUCAAUGGAUGGUGGCAACAUCUCUGGAGUUUUGAGGACAAGUGAGAUUUGGCCAGAUGAAAGUUCUAUUUGUGAAAAUCAGAAAUAUGAAAAGAUGCGCUGUUUAAGAGGACCACUUGGAGUAUCAAAGCAUGAGGUUAACAAGGUUGGCAGCAGCCCUGUGGUGAUGGGUCCAUGUGCUGCGCUCUGAAGCUUCAACUUUGUCCUGAAAGCUGCGAAGGAUUUAAACCAGAGUAAGAAGAUCAAAUUUGUGUUUUAAAAUAAUUACUCUGGCAUCAGUUCAGUGUUUUUACACCGAAGACCAGUGAGGAGAAGAUUGUCCAGGAAGCAGAUCUAUUGCACACAGAGAAGACUACCAACGAAUGUGAUUACAUUAUUAAGCCAGGAACACCUCCAGAUAUUUGGUGACCUAACUUUUUUCUUUUGUUUUCAAGACAUAAAGUCUACAAGUGUCUGUGAGAGUGAAGAAAAGUCAUUGUAGCUAAAGGUUCAUCCAAAUAAUGAUGAUUUAAAAAAUCAUAUCGGUCAUUUUAGCAUGUUUUAUAAACUAAUAAUCUAAAUUGAUGAAUGAAGCAGGUGCAUACAUUGUUUUAAUUAACAACAGCUGUGUUAUAGCAACAUUAUAGGAGCUUAUUAUGGCAUCAUUUAUUAAGAAUAUGUUUCCAAGUCAUUUUGUAACAUGCAUUAUAAAAAGUUAUUAAAAGAU
rnacentral:lncRNA from 1 species